rnacentral:rRNA from 1 species
UACGUAGGCAGCAAGCGUUGUUCGGAGUUACUGGGCGUAAAGGGUGCGUAGGCGGUUGUUUAAGUUUGGUGUGAAAUCUCCCGGCUCAACCGGGAGGGUGCGCCGAAUACUGAACGGCUAGAGUGCGGGAGAGGAGAGUGGAAUUCCUGGUGUAGCAGUGAAAUGCGUAGAUAUCGUGAGGAACACCAGAGGCGAAGGCGGUUACCUGGACAGUUACUGACGCUCAGGCACGAAAGCAUGGGGAGCAAAAGGG